GCAUCGAUGAAGAACGCAGCGAAAUGCGAUAAGUAGUGUGAAUUGCAGAAUUCAGUGAAUCAUCGAAUCUUUGAACGCACAUUGCGCCCCUUGGUAUUCCAUGGGGCAUGCCUGUUCGAGCGUCGUUUCAACCCUCGAGUCCCCGUGGCCCGGUGUUGGGGACGCUGCCCAGCUACCUGGGCAGCCCCCCUAAAUGCAGUGGCGGUCCCGCAAGUCCCAGCCCUUUGCGUAGUAAUAUCAUUCUCGCUCUGGACGGCUCGCGGGCUUACCAGCCUCGAAACCCCCUACAAAGACCGCCCCGGCGGCAACGGUUGACCUCGGAUCAGGUAGGGAUACCCGCUGAACUUAAGCAUAUCAAUAAGCGGAGGAA
rnacentral:rRNA from 1 species